CUACGGGAGGCUCCAGUGGGGAAUAUUGGACAAUGGGCGCAAGCCUGAUCCAGCAAUGCCGCGUGAGUGAAGACGGCCUUAGGGUUGUAAAACUCUUUCGCUAGGGAAGAUAAUGACUGUACCUAGUAAAGAAGUCCCGGCUAACUCCGUGCCAGCAGCCGCGGUAAUACGGAGGGGACUAGCGUUGUUCGGAAUUAUUGGGCGUAAAGAGUUCGUAGGCGGACUGACAAGUUAGAGGUGAAAUCCCAGGGCUCAACCCUGGAACUGCCUUUAAAACUGUCAGUCUAGAGACCGGAAGAGGUUAGGGGAAUACCUAGUGUAGAGGUGAUAUUCGUAGAUAUUAGGUGGAACACCAGUGGCGAAGGCGCCUAACUGGUCCGGUACUGACGCUGAGGAACGAAAGCGUGGGGAGCAAACAGGAUUAGAUACCCGCGUAGUC
rnacentral:rRNA from 1 species